UUGUAUUUGCUACUAUUCGCUGCUGGAAAAUUAGGGCAAAACCUGUCUUCCGACGUGCUGACGAACAAAACAAAUUCUUGGAAAGAUGAUGAAAGGAAUGAUGAAAGCAACUUCCGGCACCCCUUCAUUAUUCAUGAAUCGCCCUUCUAACAAUUUUUCGAGUAGUAGUAGUCGUAGCAGCUCAUUGAAGCUUCCGCAAUCAAGUUCAUUGAAGCUUCGACAAUCAAGCUUAUCUUUUUCGGUAUCACGCCCCCUUCGUCUCAACAGACUUCUGACCAACAAUCAAAUUGCUAGAUCUCUGACCUUUCAAUGUCAUUGCCCUAAUGUGGAGAACCUUGAUGAGACUAUAACUGCUGACAUGCAAUAACUCAACCUUUCAUCAAAACGAUGCACAAGUCAAGUUCAAAACAGUCCCCCACUACGAAUGAUUUUAGAGAUAGGUAACAGGUUCGCAUCCAUAGGGUACUAUCCAAAGACAGGUGAAUAUUGCCUUUGGCUGGCCUUGGGAAAGGGUGAGCUGGUGCUUAAAGGUCACACAGGGCUAUGAUUCCAGAUUAUCGAAACAAUGUGUUCCCAAAUUGGAGACUAUUUGGAUGCUUUUUUGGGGACAAACAAAGAAGGCCUUCUCUACCAUUGCAGAUGUUACCGUCAUUGCCUUCUCUACCAUUGCAGAUGUUACCGUCAUUAGUGGCUUGCUUUUAUAUGCAUUAUUUUUUACAGUAAAAAUUAUCCUUCAAUCAAAAAAGAAAGAACCAAGAAAUGUUUCAUUUGAUGAAUUAAUUGGUGUUGAUGCUACAAGAGAGGAAUUUGAACAUAUUAUAUCCAUACUACAAGGAAAGAACGAGUACAAGAGACUUGAGGUGGAGUUACCCGUUGGUGUUCUGCUUUAUGGUUCUCAAAGAACAGGGAAAACUACAUUGGUACAUGCACUGGCUUGAGAAGCUGGAGUAUCAUUUUUCCCAGUUUCUGCUAAAGAUAUUGCUAAGGAUGGCCCCAGAUCUGUUAAUAUUAAAAACCUUUUUUUUGAAGCAAAAGCAUAUUCACCAUCCAUCGUCUUAAUUGAAGAUGUAGACGUUAUUGCAAAGAAUGGAACUUGUAAAUCUGACCCAGCUUUACAUCAGCUUGACUUGGAGAUUGAGAGCUGCAAUGAGGAUGGAUACAUGGUACUGGUUAUAGUUUCCACUAAUAAACCUGAGACACUAGAUACAGCCUUGAUGAGUUAUUUUCAGUUCUUCAUGAAAGUGCACAUGGGUUUACCAGAUGAAGUUAGCAGGAGAAAAAUUGCCCAUGUGCAUUUAAAUAUGGUUCUCAGGGAGGAAGACAAAGAAGCGAUUUGCAACCUUGUUGCUUCACAAACUCCUGGUCGAGUUUGGGCUCAUAUUAAAGGCGUAGCUGAUCAAUCUAGGAGAUAUGCUGCGUUUAGAGGAAAUGAUCACGUGACAAUGGAUGAUGUUCUUAAAGCUCUUGAAAUGCUCAAUCGUUGAUUUUGAAGAUUAACCAACGGCAUAAGAAAACAUGCAACUCAUUGUUGAUUCUGUGGCGUUUGAUGUACAGAUUAGUCUAGCAAUUCAAGAUGGCCCAUUCAACUUCAAACAUGUUGCUAAAGUUUCUAGUAUUCUCUGUAAAAGUUUAUUUUUGUUGAAGCCUAAAGCAAUCCUGAAAACAUGUUAUUAGGGUAUGUAUAAAAGUCGAUCUUAUUAAGGGGAUCCAAAUAUUUACAUUUUGGUAUCAGGGAAUUCGAAUAUUGGCAAGAACUUACAUGCAAAGACUGCAGUCUUGAACCGAAGGUUGAAACUAUUUUAAGGCCUGGUAACAAGUGACACCCAAAUGAGGCAUGACAGCUUUCAGGAGUAGGUUGAGAAGCCUGUCUCCCAGCUUCAAUAGUUCUGUACUUUUAUUUCUUAAUUUCUUUGGUAAGGCAAAGAAUUACACAAUUAUUAUCUGACUUUUUUUUUUUUGAACAGCAAUUAUUAUCUGACUUACCAAUUGUAGUCUUGAGGCUUGAACACUCGACAAAAUUGAUAACGUUCAACAAUAGGGCCUUUUUUAUUCA